rnacentral:lncRNA from 1 species
ACUUUGACACGUUUAGAAUUUCCUUAUUAUUUGACGUGAUAGAAAAUCCUAGUUUGUCAUAAUUUGAAUUGUCGAUUAUACAUGUGGUUGUUUUGUUGGUGUGUUUUGUUUUUGUUAACUCUAUAGUCCGUCGGAAAUGAAUAACAGUAUUUUACAAUCCAAACAAUUUAGGCCCGUUUUACUGAGAUGAUAGAGGUUCCGUACUGGAAAGUUAUUGUAAAUCAAUACACGAGACUGGAUACAUGAACGUUCACAUACUUUAUUUUUCCAUCUAACAUAUAUACAAGCACAGUUCAUAAAGCAUAUUUACAAAACAGUAAGCAUGGCAACAUAUAUUAACCCGCCGCUGCUCGUAGAUCGAGAGCGGGGCGAACCGGUGCGUCACAUGGUUCUAUCUAUUUCUCUCUAUCUCUUUUUCGUUUCAAAAGUCAUCUUUAUAAAACAUUAUCAUAGAAACGUUUUGACCAAUGAAAACGGAAAAGGGUACUUAUAAACAAAAAGUUUCUAAAUAAUGAAAUAUUUUAAAAGCAGAUUAAAUUAAGACUUAGUGUUAAUUGACAUUAUUCACUUUAUAUACAGUUUAGGUGUUG